CUACGGGGGGCUGCAGGCGAGAAAACUUUGCAAUGUGCGAAAGCACGACAAGGUUAAUCCGAGUGGUUUCUGCUAAAGGAACCUUUUGUCGGUCCUAGAAACACCGAUGAAUAAGGGGUGGGCAAGUUCUGGUGUCAGCCGCCGCGGUAAAACCAGCACCUCAAGUGGUCAGGAUGAUUAUUGGGCCUAAAGCAUCCGUAGCCGGCUCUGUAAGUUUUCGGUUAAAUCUGUACGCUUAACGUACAGGCUGCCGGGAAUACUGCAUAGCUAGGGAGUGGGAGAGGUAGACGGUACUCGGUAGGAAGGGGUAAAAUCCUUUGAUCUAUUGAUGACCACCUGUGGCGAAGGCGGUCUACCAGAACACGCCCGACGGUGAGGGAUGAAAGCUGGGGGAGCAAACCGGAUUAGAUACCCUGGUAGUC
rnacentral:rRNA from 1 species